GCUAAUACCGGAUAACAAACAGAUGAUGCCUAUCAACUGUUUAAAAGAAUGGUUCUGCUAUCACUCUUGGAUGGACCUGCGGUGCAUUAGCUAGUUGGUAGGGUAACGGCCUACCAAGGCGAUGAUGCAUAGCCGAGUUGAGAGACUGAUCGGCCACAUUGGGACUGAGACACGGCCCAAACUCCUACGGGAGGCAGCAGC
rnacentral:rRNA from 1 species